AUCUGGGGACAAGGGAAAAGGAUAGCAGGUUACAUCUCAGGCACACUCACACUCUCCGCUGAUUUGUUCCUCCCCUUCCCCUUGCCCUGGAUUCACUUUUAUUGAGCGAAGUCACGAGAGAACUCGUCUCGGCGCUGAAACCUCUCUCUCCCAACAGUUGCCAAGGAGCGACGCAUGAAAAGUUCCUGUGUGUCCCUCACGUCCACAUGCACGCAUAUAGAGUCCGUGUCCUCGGCAAAGCCCCUCAUCUUUCUUGGACCCUUGCCCAAAUGUUGCCACCCUGAGUACCGGCCCAACUCAGCACCACGUCUGCCCUGUGCCUCCCUGGAGAUCCUCGGGGAAGCGAGAAGGAGGGGCGACCGCAAAUUAGUUUUAUUCUGAGCUGUCACACAGUGACAACUUGAACGAGUGACUUUUCAAACAAAAUAAGACGGAUGGCUCCAAACGUCUUCCUUAGACGCAGCCAAACCUUUCCCCGGAGCCUCAGAGGCUACAAAACAGGCUGCCUCCAGAAACCUGGGAGCGGCACGCGCGUCCCUCCUUUGCAGGAGAUUGUAGGAAAUGUUAGCCUCCCUCCUCCACCACAUCUCCGGAUCAUGUGGGGUUCGUUGUUUUGCAAGUGCCCACAAGAGCAGAUUUCCGUGGGGUUCAAUAUUGCUUUCAAUUCUGUGACAGCUUCCCCAGGAACCCCUUGGGCCUGGUCGCAGGAGGAGCUGCAGUGGUGGUCAACGUCUUCCAUUCAUGCCUUGGGUCUUUAGAACGCAGGGUGGUGGUAGUGGGGGUUUUGUGCAACAUCAACAUCUCUAUUUUAAGAAUUUGUUCUCUUUUAAAUUAUAGUCAGAAUGGAUUUCCCCACCCCUCUCCCAGACAAACCACAGGCCACCCAGAUAAGCUGUUCUUGCACAUUUUCAGGAAGAAAAUAAAAUAAUACGAAUAAUGAAACCA